GUCUUGUUGUUACACAGGUAUAUUUGAUUUACCUAAACUGUACCCUGUACUUAACUUUACUCGGGUCUACCCUACUAUGACAAAUUUAAAUGAGCACUAGCAGGCUGGCCGCACCGACCGCAGUGAAUCUCGGGCACAUGGCGACAAAAAAACUCAUCUAGCGCCUUUAGCGACUUUUUGGUGCAUGUGGCGACUUUUUAAAACGUGCAUUUUCAGUGACAAAUGAAUCGUUUUUCCACAUAAUUCCAAUAUGGUCCAGCUGCGUCUUGUCCAGCUAAUACCGCUACGCCCAUUCCUCCUUACUAGACCGCCCUCACAGUAACGCCCCUUUGGCUGUUCAAGUUUCUGAAGUCAGUUGCUGCCGAAUGACAACACUAGCGCCGCGCGGGACUGUUUAAAAAACGACUGGAAGGAUUUCGCUGCAGCGAUCACUCAACUGUCGGUAAGAUUUCGAUAUUAAAUGCAUGAAUAUACAUAACGGUUACUUUACGAGUUGACUUUCAGUCGGAGGGCGAACAUUUAACCACCUCGGCCCACCAACUAGCGGUGUUGGCUAAUGUUUUUUUUAGCUUCAAGGCAAGCUAACAGGCCGCCCUUCGAAAGUUUGUUUCAGAUGUUGUGUGUGUAUUUGUCAUAAUGUACAGCACUAAGUUAUGGGCAGACAAAACAACUAUUAUUCCUGUGUAAUUACCAUUCUUGUGACUACUUCACUGCAUAUAUUAAGCAGGAAACUGCCUUUGGUUCCCAAAAUAUGAACAUCUGUUGCCCUUCAUACCCCACUACAGGCUUCACUGCCUGGGAAAUCUGUGCUAGUUUACUAUUUCCAACCUGGUAGCUAGCUAGCUAGCCAGCCUGGUCAGAAUGGACAAAGGCAGCACAUCUCAGAAUCUUGUUACGACAAUACGAGGCAAAUGUGAAUGGAGUACAUCGUUAUGUGUAAGAUAAGACGUUAACAUGACAAGGGUGAGAUGAAAGAUACUAAGGGCUAGCCAGACUAGAAUAAAAGUUAACUAGGCCUACCACGAAAAGUUCAUUCAUAAACGUUUUGACGGUCUUUCGAAUGGUUAUCGGAUGGUGUGCUUGCUUGCUUAAAUAUCAUAAAGUUCGCCACAAAGUGAUCACGAAAUGAUCUCCGUAUUAAUAACAGUUUCGUGGUUUGUUACUCGUUUGAAUAAACGUAUAGUUUUGACAUCCCUUUCAAAUGACACGCGGAAGUUUUGAAUAUUUGUUGUACCACGAGCUAUCACGAAAUUAUGCUGGGCCAAAAGGUGUUUAUACAGUAGUUUCUUCCUGUGCUGCGUUGUGCACGUCUGUUUCAUCAUCUGAGCUAUCAGUUGUGUUUCUUUGAAGCAAAGAUGUAUAGAAUAGCACUGAAAGUCGGAGGUGUCAUAUUUGUUCAACCUGGUGUUAAACGUAAUUUCAAUUCUUGACCAGUGCAUGUAAAGAAAUUGAAAAUAAAACCGACUUGACUUGUCAUUGGGUCUGAUUUUAAAUGUGCCAUAUAGUUCAAUGUGGGAGCAGGUUCACACACUAAAUAAGACACUAAGGUCAAGCACAAGCAGAUUAAAAAAAAAAAAAAAAAUUCUCAGAGCAGAUUAGAGCAGACGUUUCAGGUUGCUGCCAUCAGAGAGUAUUGACUUGACCUUAGUGUCUUUAGUGUGCUCCCACAUUGAGCUCUACUUUUUGGGUCCAUGCACCUACUUAUUUCUAAACAUCUAGAGCGCAACAAUACCCCUGCCUCCUGAUAUGCCAUAUAACCUGUAUCUCUCCAAGUGUGUGUGUGUGUGUGUGUGUGUGAGAGAGAGAAUGUGUGCACGCAGAUAUAAGAAGUUGGGGUUGAUGAUCCACAUGAUGGUGAUGGACCAGGACAGCUCUGGACCUCCUGACUGGCAGCUCCAUCCUCAACCUCUCUUCCUGCCCUUCACACAUGUGCAGGCAGCCAGUUUUCUGAAAGAUGGUUGAUGUCAGUACCAACAUGUUGUGAUGGAGGCUUCCACCUGAGCUGAACACAGAAACUUGCACACAGUGUUGGAAGCAGUCGUUCCUGCUCAGCAUCGAUAUGCCAGUAAUGGGUUUGAUGAGCCACAGCAUGGUGAUGGGCAAUCAGCAUCAGGACCAGGGCAGCUCACAAGGAGAACCUCCUGCCCUGCCUCGUCAUCCUCAACCUCCAAUCUCCCUGCUCUUCACACAUGUGCAGGCACGGAGCCAGUUUUCAGAGGGAGGGCUGAUGACACCAGCAACUUUGGUGAACCUGAUCAACCCAGCACCAACCACUGUGCCCCUCCUCCUCUGCCAACUGCACCACAUGGCUCCACCAUCUCAAAAAGGCACAGACACUACUCCUACUACUUCCUGCGAAGGAUGAGAGAAGAGCCGACCGCCCCACAUCGGCACUCACCACCUUCUACAGGGGUGUCAUUGAGAGCAUCCUGACCAGCAGCCUCUCUGUCUGGCAUGGCAGCCGUCAAGCUGAAGACUAGAAGGCAGUACAGAGAGUGUGGUGAGAACGGCAGAAAAGCUCAUAAGAUCACCCCUACCAGCCAUUCAGGAUCUGUACACUUCACACUGUUCCAAGAGGGCAAUGAACAUCAUAAAGACACAACUCAUCCAGCAUACAGACUGUUCUCCCUACUACACAAGCACACUGGGAAACGGCUUCUUUCCACAAGCCAUCAGACUCCUCAACGCACUGAAGAAAACCACAUGAAUAUUCCAAGGACACUGGAGAAUAUUCCAUGAACACUUCUUUCACCAUGCCACUUACACUUUACUCAUUGCUCCUUAUAUACAGCAUCUUCACAUCACCUGUAUGAUCUCCUCCUGCCGUGUGUGUGUGUGUGUGUGUGUGUGUGUGUGUGUGUGUGUGUCCACUGUGUUUGUGUAUUUAUUGUCCAUCAGUAUGUUAAUCUUCUUAUUGCACACUGUUUGUGUCUCUGUGUGACUGUAUUUAUUGUAUGUAUCAGUCUGUAUUUCAUGCCAAUGCAUUAUUUUUAGUUAUUAGUUAAACUGCACAUUGGAGACUGGUCAAACACAAUUUCAAACUUUGUGUUAACCCUCCAUAGAUUUUUAUUUAAAAAAUGGAGUCUAAUCUACUGUACUACACAGGCUAUCAACAGACCACACAGUUGAGUGCUGUUUUAUGCACUCUGAAUAUGAGAAGGAGAGGUAACCGUUCACACUUCAUAGUGUAAAAGUAAACAGAAAUACAUUUUCACAUUUCAUUCCUGUCUCGUUCACUUCUUUCAGCAAUGUAUGUGGCCUACAUGCAGGGAAGCUGACAGGGGGGGCAAAGGGGUCCGUUGACCUGGGCCCAGUGAGACGAGGGGUCCAGGAAUGGGUCCUCAUUACAUCAUACCUGCAAACUCGUCACCUUUUGGUGACAGUCACCUUUUUCCUGUCCAAUUAGGUCAUUCACGUGAAUAGAAAUAGAACCCCAGCUCUACACUGUCACCUUUUUUUCU